GACGAACGCUGGCGGCGUGCUUAACACAUGCAAGUCGAACGGAAAGGCCCUGCUUUUGUGGGGUGCUCGAGUGGCGAACGGGUGAGUAACACGUGAGUAACCUGCCCUUGACUUUGGGAUAACUUCAGGAAACUGGGGCUAAUACCGGAUAGGAGCUCCUGCUGCAUGGUGGGGGUUGGAAAGUUUCGGCGGUUGGGGAUGGACUCGCGGCUUAUCAGCUUGUUGGUGGGGUAGUGGCUUACCAAGGCUUUGACGGGUAGCCGGCCUGAGAGGGUGACCGGCCAAGGUGGGCCUGGAAUGCGCCCCGGCCCCGACGGGGAGGGGGGGGGGGGGUAUUUAGAAAAAGGGGAGGAGGCCGACCCCGACAAGGCCGCGGGGGGUGUGGGGGCCUUGGGUUUGUAAACCGUUGCCCCUGGGGCCGAGGGGGGAGUGACGGUACUGGGAAAAGAAGCCCCGGCUAACUCCGUG
rnacentral:rRNA from 1 species